GAGCAGAGAUCGAAAUAAUUAAAAUAAAUAAACAUAAAUGUUUUUUUUAUUUAUGUUUGGAUAUAAUACCCCAAAAAAAAAAUAAGUGUAUUUUUGUUAUUAUUCCUUUUUUAUUUUUCUUUGAAAAUUUAAUGUUAAUUCUUUGUUGAAUAUAAAUUUUUGCUCCAAUUUAGGCAAAAUUUGCAUUCAAUGGAUGUUGUUUUGUGAUAUAAUAGACGAUCUUUUCUUUCCAUGGAGAUGGAAUUGCG
rnacentral:lncRNA from 1 species